rnacentral:lncRNA from 1 species
AAAUUUUAAGUAACAUAAAAUCUUAAGUAACAGAAGUAUUUAAAGGCCUUUCUUACGCGUCUUUUUUUAAAAACCCAAAUCUCGCUUCUCUCCUCCCUCUCCAAAUUCGCGAAUCUGACAAGCUGGGCUCCUCUCUCCAAACCCAAAUCGCCUGCCCUAGUCGAGCUCUUCUCCAGACACUCCAAGCAAAUCGCAGACACUCCUACCAAAUCGUAUGUCCUAGUUGAGCGAUUUAGAAGUUAGGACAAGCUCUAUUCUUGUCGCUUCUCUCCAAAUCAGGUAUGUGUUAUAAUCUGAUUAUCCUCUGUUUUCUUGUUCCUUUGGUUGUGGCAAGUGAUACCCAGAACACAAUUUUGUUUGUUUAAGCUGAGCGUAUCCUUAAAAUCAGCUGUCUUAAUCAAAUUCUUCUCCUCAUCAGCCAGAAAUCCCAAUUUCUAAAACUGAUUUUUGAGAAAGCACAAAUUAAAAUUUUCUCUAACUUCCUGGUACUCGAAAGCCUAUUCACAUUAUAUUUUUAGGGGUAAACAUGUGAUGUCUCAAUUUUCUCAAUUUAAAUACUUUGUGAGAGAAAUUAUAGAGUCAAAUUAAAGACUUGUUUGGUAGCCGUUAAGUGGUAAGAAGGGAGUGUUAGUGUUACUAAGUCAGGUGCCAGAACAUUUUUAAAAUCAAAUUGUAAAAUCAAAUUGAAUAGGGCUAUAAUAUUUCUCAAUCCACUAGAGGGCUAUAUUCACAUUAUUUGAAUAUUUGAUGAUUUUUUAUAUCAGGUAUAAUGGAUGACAUGGACCAUGAAAUAGGGAGUUGUGGGGUUGCAGAUUCUAGCACUUAUAUGUUAAUUGUUAUCAUCACUUUAAAUAUAGAAUAGGUGCAGUGUCAUGGUUAAAGUUGAAUUGGUAUAGAGAAUAGAAUAUAUAAGAAUGGCAUGAAGGAUUUGAACUGUAUCCAAAUGAUUGUGAUUCUGAGAUUGUAUGUACCUUCUGUUUUCCAGAUGAUUUUUCAGGGUUUGGUAUGAGGCUUCCAUUUACAUCUUCAGAAAAUCGUUCAUCAGCUAAUUGCUUCAACAAUUUCUGCACCUCAGUUGGCUGAAGAUUUGAAUUUUAUAGUUGUUUAAGGUGAAUUACAUCUUUACCUCCCAUCUUUACCCCAACAACAAUAUGAGUACCAUAUUUUUCAAUAAACCUGGAAAUUAAUGUAAUUAUAAUCUCUAUAAUAACCAAAACUGGCCUUCAUACAUUUUUUUUAACAUUUCAAUCUAGUCAUUCUAAUACUGUUAGAGUAUGGUUAUUUUUCUAUGUUGAAGCAUGUCUUUGUAUUCAGUCUUAUGUUUCAGUUUUGUGACUUUUUGUCAUACAGUAACAGGAACGUUGAACCUGGAUUUGGUUGAAGCUAUGGAGUUUAUUAGAGGUAUAUAUGCACCUCUUCUUUUUCACCACACUGACUUCAAGAAUAAUCUUCUCCAAUUAUAUCCUCUUCUAAUUAUAAGUUAUUGUGAGUUGUUGUGAUAUAAGCCAUAUAGGCUGGUUUCAGUGGUUGUCCUGUUUUUAAAUAAAUAAAGUAAUCUCUACAGUACAUGAAAGGAUGUUAUCAAAGAUGUGCUUGUUGCUGAUAACACUUUCCUAGUCUCAGCUGGGGUUUUAGUGAGAUCUUUUAAGUCAUGACUACUGUAGUCUUUUAGGAGUUUUUGAAUUUCCCUUGCAUAUAAAAUUCAUACAUCCUCUGUCUGCCAUGGUUGGAUAAAUUGUCUUUUAUGAUGCAGGUACAAUGAUCAUAAGGUCACAAAUGUAUCAAGAAUACAUGAAGUGGGCAGUUGUAAUGUGGUCAUGUCAAUCCAAUAACAGAGGCAUACAAAAGUGGGCAGUUGAUUCAACUGUUAGAGAAGGCAUUAUGCUCCUAAGGAUUUUGGUGAAGGCAAUCCUAGUAUAUUGUUUAAAUGCUACUUGUUAUAGCUUAGUUGAAAGUGGUUGAGUUGUUUCCAAGUGUAAUAUUAAGAUAUGUACAUUUUCAAACGAUGAAGGCCUUCAUGGAGAUAAAUAUCACUAUCAAUGGGGGUUACCACUAAUCAUUACUUUUGAAGCAGUACAGGAGGUGGAUGUUUGUGUAAUGACUACAAGCGUUACAUUCUAAUAUGAUUUUGUUUAACUUUCUAUAUUUAUGUUUGUGUAUUCAAGCGGGAUAUGAGAUCGGUCUGAAGUUGCAUUUGUUUUUACUCAGUAUCAUUCUAAUAUUACAGGGAGUGUCAAAGUGUAUCUAAAGGUGUAGUUAGUAGUUGAAAUUGUUCAAUGACUUGUUUGAAUAACACCUGAUAACAUACUGCAUACUGCAAGUCUGCAACAUACUAUAGUCGAUAUUUCACUAGUUGUGUUGAUCCAAUAGAAUUAUACAUACUGCAACAGAUUUCAUCAUGGGCA